CGAAAAUAAAUUGUGUGUAUAGGAUCGUGACCAAAAAUUCCCGUGAUAAUUCGUGAAUACGUUAUAGACACAGUUUCGUUCCUCUCUCUUCUAUCUCUCUAAAACACACUCUCUCGUUUUUAUCUCUAGUCGCCGUUGAAGUGUUGUUCUUCCGACCGACGUCGGUGGGCUUCCAUAACCACGACGUCGGUUGGAUUCCUUCUCUCCUUUGUAAUCUAGUAGUUUCUUUGUCUAGUUUGUUUCAGUUUGUUUUGAAAGUUAUGAAAUUUCAAUUCUCAGAUCUAGAUCUAGAAAUUAAUCUUUGCGAUGGGUUUGAUGGUCUUGGUGGUUUGGCGUUAUUCUUCAUUGUGGUGGGUUCCGGUUAUUAUCUUGAGUAUCUGGUGUAUUUUGCCUUGGGUCUCUCCCAUCGAGGUCUUGGUCGCCUCCAUCUCUGCCUCCAAUAUGUUUGUAAGUGAUUUUUGGUUUCAAUGGUUCACGAUACUAGUGUUGAUGAUGAGUCCAGAAGGUGUGCUUAUCCUUCGUUGGUGUUGCAACGGUGUGGUUACUUCGGUGAUCUCCUUUGUGUGCUUGCAUGUAAGAUAACCGGCUCGAUUCGAAGGAUUUGGGGCUUUGGCUCUUUGGCAUCAGGUCGUAGGAGACGACAGGUUAACCGUUCUCUUCUUUGCGUCCUCCUUGGUUGGGUCAAGUGCUAUUGCUAGUGGCUCCAGUUGUGGGUUCAAGUGGUGUGGUUUGGAGCAUAAUAAUGAGCAAUGGCUUGAACUUCCUCAAUAAAGUUUGAUCUUUGAUGUUUGCUUCCGUCUCCUUCUCGUCUCGUUUAAUUUAACGCUUCAGUUCGUGUUUUGUUUUAAAUGAUUUGUUCUGGUUAUUGAAAUUCCUAACUUUAGUCUUUUAUUUUGGUUCCGGGGAUUGGGUUGUUUUCCGCCGGCUAACGCUUCCAGGGACUGUUCUUUUGUCCGCUGGCUCUGUUUCCGGAAGCCAUGUGGCUUGCCGGCUCUUGUCAAAAACUUUGUGUAUUGCGUUGGUAAAUUAAUAUAGGGUCUGAAUGGGGGAGCAGAACGUUGACAGAUCUCCUGCACUUUAAUAUUUUAUGUACUGCAAAUGCGAAUCACACUUUUAAAAUCUUCCGGACAAAAAAAACAGGAGAACUGCCAAAUGCAAUUAUUUUUGUCUUUAUCUGUGUAAAAACAGAUAUCCUGCAUGUCCUUCUGUCCUCUCCACUUUUGAGGCAGUUCGCUAAUUCCACAAUUUUCUUAACCAAUAAAAUCUUUUUACAUAAAUAAUUAAUUCUCAAAAUUUUGGUUAUUUCCCUAUAAAUCAAGUCAGCUACCACUUUACUAGUUUCAUACUUCACGAUCAAAAAAGAUGUUCUAAAGAACAAAAAAUACUUUGUACUGUGGCAAUUAAAAAAAAGUAUUCUAGUUCUAUGUUUUGUUGUAUUGGUAUAUCGUGAGUUUCAUUCCUUCUCAACGUAAGCUUUCAUUCUAAUUUAAAUCGUAUAUACUUUGUCCAUUAAUAUAUAAUAUAUUGUAUAGGUAACUGGAAGAAAUUUUUGUUGCUGUAGGGUGGAAAUUAAAAAGGGUGCUGAAACUUUGUGCUGUGUUGUGUUGUGUUGGGUCUCAGUCAUUAUCUUCAACCUAAGGUGGAAGAAGUAAUAAAAAGUGCUGUGAUUUUGUGCUGUGUUGUGUUCUACCUCGGUCAUUAUCUCCAGCCUGAGAUAUGACAUCAAAUCAUCGACAAAAUGCAACACUUUCUGACGAUGAAGAUAUAAAUCUGUCCAGAGACACGUCGGCACGGGUAAGUAGUUAAUAUGUUUUUAAAAAAAAUUAGAAUAGUUAAUACUAUACUAAAAUGGUUGAAAUUUUUGUAAAUUGUUAGAAUGUAAACAAUUUUAAAUGGAAUGCGAACCGAGAACGAGUAUUUAUUGAGUUGUACGAUCGAGCAAUUGCCAUGAGCGAUUACCGUUUCAAAGAUCCCACACCAGCUGGUAGAGAGUUUCUCGUUGAUAAAUUUAACCAAAAGUUUAAUAUUAACGUAACCUACCGGUUCUUCAAAGAAAACUCGAUCAACUUAAUAGAAAAUACAAGAAGUACAAGCAUCUUAUGAAAAAUUCUACGGACAUUUCGGUUGAUCCUACUACAUCUGUGAUAUCUGCGUCUGAUUCAUGGUGGAGAGAUCGUGAAGUAAGUAUACACAAUCUGUUACACCCAUAAGAUAUUUAAGAAAUAACAAUUCUGUAAAAUUUAUAGACUAAAAACUACAUAAUCUUAUUAACAAGUAGAUAGGAUUGUGAAAUCAUUUAAACGAAAGCCGCUGGAGUUGUGGGAUGUGAUGCAACGAUGUUUCAUAUUAUAUGACGUCCAAUCACAGUCUCAAUACUCUUUGCACCAAAGAAGAGAAGAGUUGCUGAAUGAUGGUCAAAAUAAUGAUGAAGACCAUUUGUACUCUGAAACAUAUGAUGGUGAUACACAACACACGCAUGUUCCCGAGACACAAGAAAAUGAAGAAGUCUAUCGCGUAAAUAUUGAUGAUGAAACGCGUCAGUCAAAUCAAUUCAACCGUGAGAAUUUACGUCAGAAUUCUU